CCUACGGGAGGCAGCAGUGAGGAAUAUUGGUCAAUGGGCGCGAGCCUGAACCAGCCAAGUAGCGUGAAGGAUGACUGCCCUACGGGUUGUAAACUUCUUUUAUAAAGGAAUAAAGUGAGGCACGUGUGCCUUUUUGUAUGUACUUUAUGAAUAAGGAUCGGCUAACUCCGUGCCAGCAGCCGCGGUAAUACGGAGGAUCCGAGCGUUAUCCGGAUUUAGUGGGUUUAAAGGGAGCGUAGAUGGGUUGUUAAGUCAGUUGUGAAAGUUUGCGGCGCAACCGUAAAAUUGCAAUUGAUACUGGCAGUCGUGAGGACAGUUGAGGUAGGCGGAAUUCGUGGUGUAGCGGUGAAAUGCUUAGAUAUCACGAAGAACUCCGAUUGCGAAGGCAGCUUACGAAACUGCCACUGACAUUGAUGCUCGAAAGUGUGGGUAUCAAACAGGAUUAGAUACCCGAGUAGUC
rnacentral:rRNA from 1 species